rnacentral:rRNA from 1 species
UAUGGGGGGAGCAAGCGUUGUUCGGAUUUACUGGGCGUAAAGGGCGCGUAGGCGGUCAGCACAAGUCAGUUGUGAAAUCUCCGGGCUUAACUCGGAAAGGUCAACUGAUACUGUGCGACUAGAGUGCGGAAGGGGCAACUGGAAUUCUCGGUGUAGCGGUGAAAUGCGUAGAUAUCGAGAGGAACACCUGCGGCGAAGGCGGGUUGCUGGGCCGACACUGACGCUGAGGCGCGAAAGCCAGGGGAGCAAACGGG